UACGUAGGGUGCAAGCGUUAAUCGGAAUUACUGGGCGUAAAGCGUGCGUAGGCGGUGCCUCAAGUUUGGUGUGAAAUCUCCCGGCUCAACUGGGAGGGUGCGCCGAACACUGAGGUGCUCGAGUGUGGGAGAGGUAGGCGGAAUUCCUGGUGUAGCGGUGAAAUGCGUAGAUAUCAGGAGGAACACCGGCGGUGUAGACGGCUUACUGGACCAUUACUGACGCUGAGGCACGAAAGUGUGGGGAGCAAACAGG
rnacentral:rRNA from 1 species